rnacentral:siRNA from 1 species
GAAAUGUUGGUCAUCCGUGAUGGA